UACGUAGGGGGCAAGCGUUGUCCGGAUUUAUUGGGCGUAAAGAGCGUGUAGGCGGCCUGACAGGUCUGCUGUGAAAACUCGAGGCUCAACCUCGAGAUGUCGGCGGAAACCGUCUGGCUAGAGUCCGGAAGAGGAGAGUGGAAUUCCUGGUGUAGCGGUGAAAUGCGCAGAAUAUCAGGAGGAACACCGGGUGGCGAAGGCGGGUCUCUGGGCCGAUACUGACGCUGAGGAGCGAAAGCGUGGGGGAUCAAAACAG
rnacentral:rRNA from 1 species